rnacentral:lncRNA from 1 species
UGAAAAGAAAAACCAUGCACCUCACUGUCUCAUCUUACCUUAUCCAGCACAAGGCCACAUGAACCCUAUGAUUCAAUUCUCAAAACGUUUAAUAGAGAAAGGAGUAAAGAUAACACUAAUAACAGUUACAUCUUUCUGGAAAGUAAUCAGCAACAAAAAUCUCACUUCUAUUGAUGUCGAAAGCAUCUCCGACGGCUACGACGAAGGAGGCCUUUUAGCAGCAGAAAGCUUAGAAGAUUACAAAGAAACCUUCUGGAAAGUUGGAUCACAAACUCUCUCAGAGCUUCUUCAUAAACUUUCAAGCUCAGAAAACCCUCCAAAUUGUGUUAUCUUUGAUGCAUUUCUACCUUGGGUUCUUGAUGUUGGAAAGAGUUUUGGAUUAGUUGGUGUUGCUUUUUUUACUCAAUCUUGUUCUGUUAAUAGUGUAUACUAUCAUACUCAUGAGAAGUUGAUAGAGUUGCCACUUACACAAUCUGAGUAUUUGUUACCUGGAUUGCCAAAACUUGCUCCAGGGGAUUUGCCUUCUUUCUUGUAUAAAUAUGGAUCCUAUCCGGGAUACUUUGACAUAGUUGUCAAUCAAUUUGCGAAUAUUGGUAAAGCUGAUUGGAUUCUUGCAAACUCGAUUUAUGAACUCGAACCAGAGGUACGUUACAUUAAAACUGCAAAAUUUCUUUCUUUACUUUAAUUUUCUGUAUUAUUAAGCUGCAGAAUUUAUUUUGAUAUGUUUGAAUUGAUUCUAAUGUCACCGUAGAAUUUGAAACUUUUAUCCCUAGAAUUGACUUUAAGCCUUAAAUUCACUUUUACAUGUAUGUUUGAUUUCACUAUUGAACAACACAAAAUUGAUUAUGGAAGUGUAGAGUUGCUUUUAACAUGUUUAGUGUUUAUAUAUUCUCAAGUAGAAUAGACUUUGCCUCUAUGAUUGAAUAUAACUCGAAGUUAAGACUUGAAGUUUUUGUCUCUAAAUAUGAUUUUUACAUUCAAAUUUAUUAUUCUACUUACAUUUACGUUGAGUUGUAGAAUUUAUUAUGAUGUUUGAAUUUUCUAAACUAGAAUUGAUUUGUCAUUCCGAAUUGAUUCUAAUGAUACGUUAUAAUUAGAAACUUUUGUCUCUAAAAUUGACUAUUAGCCUUAAAUUUUGUAGUUAAACUUACUUUUACGUGUACGUUUGAUUUCACUAUUGAAUUAGACAAAAUUGAUUAUGGAAGUGUAGAGUUGUUUCUCACAUGUUUAGAUGUUCUCGAGUAGAAUAGAAUUUGCCUUCAUGAUUGAUUCUAACUUGAAGAUAGGACUUGUAGCUUCUGUCUCCAAAUAUGAUUUUCACACUCAAAUUUAUUGUUGAGAUCACUUUCACCUAAACAACUUAUCAAAACAUAAACAACUUCGCAUUCAAAAUCAGUUUUACGAAGUGAAUUCAAUUUUCCUAAGUGAAUUCAUUCAAAAUCAGUUUUUGUCACCGCAGAACUAAACACACUUGUUCACUUGUUUUUACCUAUUAGAAUGUAAAGGUACAAUGUUUUAAAUCAUGUCGCAUCACGAUCUUAAUUAUUGUCUUAAAUAUUGUUGAGAAUCGCAAUCAAAUGCGAAUGGUCCUACUGUCUUUAUUUUCUGUUGAUGAUUUAAAUCUGAAUUUGAUUUAGGUGGUUGAUUGGUUAGUGAAAAUAUGGCCAUUAAAGACAAUAGGACCAUCAGUGCCAUCUAUGUUAUUGGACAAAAGACUCAAAGAUGACAAAGAAUAUGGUGUUAGCCUUUCAGAUCCCAAUACAGAAUUUUGCAUCAAAUGGCUGAAUGAUAAGCCUAAAGGUUCAGUUGUGUAUGCUUCAUUUGGUAGCAUGGCCGGUCUUAGUGAAGAGCAAACACAAGAACUAGCUUUAGGAUUAAAAGAUAGUGAAAGUUAUUUCUUAUGGGUUGUUAGAGAAUAUGAACAAAAUAAGCUUCCAAAAGGGUAUGUGGAAUCAUCAAAGAAAGGUUUAAUAGUGACAUGGUGUCCACAACUACUAGUGUUAACACAUGAAGCUUUAGGUUGUUUUGUGACACAUUGUGGUUGGAACUCGACGUUGGAAGCUUUGAGCAUCGGUGUUCCACUGAUUGCAAUGCCGCUUUGGACCGAUCAAGUUACGAAUGCAAAGCUUAUUGCUGAUGUUUGGAAAAUGGGAGUAAGAGCUGUUGCUGAUGAGAAAGAGAUUGUUAGAAGUGAAACAAUUAAAAAUUGUAUAAAGGAAAUUAUUGAGACUGAAAAGGGAAAUGAAAUUAAGAAAAAUGCUUUGAAAUGGAAGAAUUUGGCUAAGAGUUCUGUUGAUGAGGGUGGAAGAUCUGAUAAAAAUAUUGAAGAAUUUGUGGCUGCUUUGGCUCAAUGUUGAGAUGCAUUAAAAUUGACAAAAUUGGUGUGUGAUGAUUCCUAGUUUAUGCCUUCUGAAUUAUUGGUGUAUCCUUUCAUUUCACUUUUUUCUUUCCUUUAUGCAUAUGUGAUGUGAAUAUAAUAAGUUUAAGAUUGUCAUUUGGUAGGGUUGAAUCAUCUGUCUUACAAUCCAUGUGUUUUUCUGUAGUAGCAACAUUAAUUCCUUGUCAAACAAGUUGAAUAAUCUUAUUAGUUAAAUAUAGUAAUUGUUAUGCAGCCAAACUACAUAUUAAUGUAGUCAAUUGAGCUUAUUAUAUUAUGAUUCUUUUAUAAACAAAUAACUUAAUUGAAAAAUAAAUUGGAAGCUUAUCAUCGUAUUAUAAUAAACAUACUUAGGCUACAUUUUGAUUCUAGAUCCGAUAGUAUCACUCUUUUUUACGUACCUCCUUAUAAACUUUUCUAGUAAACUUUGUUGGUAUACAUACACUCCUCCGAUUAGGGGUGUGUCCCGAUGUGGGACACACGUCAGUGUCCGACACGAUACCUAUGAUUACAUUGAAAUUUGUUAUUUUCUCAAAUUAUUAUCUGUGUCGGUGUCUAUGUCGUGUCUGAUAUUGUGUCUGUGUCCGUACUUCUUGGGACCCAUUGUUCCGUACAAUAGUUAAUUUGCUGUGGAGUUAUCAUAGAAUGUUGAACAUGUAAAAGGACUUUCUCAUUUUGGUUCUUGAACUAGACAAUUUUACACAACUGAUAUACAAGAUGUUAUAAAAGAGCAGCAACUACUUAAAACAUACUGUUUUAAAAACAAUUUUAGAUAUUUGCCGUGGUGUUCCACACCAACACGUAUAAUUACACGAAAUUGUAUGAUUUUAUCAAAUUAUUAGCGGUGUUGAUGUAUCAGUGUCCAUGUCAAGUCUAGUGUCCGUAUUCGUACUUCAUAAUUAUCACGGUCACUGUGAUCUUAUGGUGCUGAGAUAGAUGCGGCCUCAAAUCGUGUAGUUGUCAGAAGACAUAAUUUUUUUAUAUAGCGGUCUAGAUCGCAGUCAUAGACGUAUUUUUAACAUUGUUUACUUUGUCCACAACAUAUGAUGAUAUAGAAAAUGACACAAAUUUGAGAAUUAAUUUUUUUUUUUGAAUCGGCUAAGUUUAUUCUCUACAGGUUUGUAUAAGGCACAAAAUAUCCACGGAUGGAAAAAACGGAAUACAACCGUAUAUAAGCAGGAGUUGUGUUAUUUGAACAUCCAUAUAUGUGACAAUUUUUACGACAACUAAAAUUUUAUAAAGGAAAUGAGGUAUUGACACAAAAAUCAAAGCAAUAGAGAAAAAAAGUAAAAAAAUAAUCUAAGUAUGAGAAAGAAAGUUAUCAUAAAAAUUGUCAAAAAUUAUCAAAAAUGGUAUCAAAAGAUCGCCUCAAAGACACAAACAACACCAAAAAAAACCUACUAAAAACGACAAAGAGCCGGCCAACAAAACAAAACAACAGCCGCCCCACACAAAAGAUGAGGCUGAGGUAUACAUACAAUAAGAAAGGGCCUACCUAUAACAUCGUGUUCUUUUUUUUCUUUUCUUUAACAUCAUUGAAUUCUCACCUUAACUACAACCUUGAUUUCAUGUUACCUCUUAAAAGCCAACAACAUUUACUCUUAAUAGCUAAACAUAGGAUGAAGCACAAAUAUAAACAUAGACAACUGCAUGUAUCGGUUCCGUGUCAGAAAUUUGAAUUUAAGUAGAGGGAUGACAGGUGUAAUUUUGCCAUUAGUGUUCCAUAAUGUUUGGAUAAUAUAUAAAUUUAAUCUCUGAUAGUAACUUAUACUACCUUCGUCCCUAAUUAUAAGGUUCUUUUAAAAAAAUAAGAGGAAUUAAGAUAAUGAAUAUUUAUAUUAAAUGUGUUUGUAAUUACUAUUGUUUUUACAAUUUUAUCUUUUAAGAAAGAGGGUUGGCUUAUGUUUUCAUCAUUAUAUUUAUUGCUGAUUCAAGAAAAAGAUGUAUAAUAAAUAGGGGCAUGUAUGUAAAGAAAUAAUUAAUGUAGUUGGAAAUAGAAAAUAAGUCUUAUAAAAAGGGACAAAUUUUUUUUCAAAAGGAUCUUAUAAUUAGGAACGGAGGUAGUAAUUGUUUCGUCACAACCACAAAUAAUAAUCAUUUUAGCACACAUAUAAGAUAAAACUAUGUAUCAUUUAAUUAUUGUUAUAAAAGUAUAUAUUAUUUAAAUUGUUUCUUUUUAUACUUUUCCCAUUUUACAAGUGUGUGCCUAAAGGUUGUGACCAAAUCCAAUCACUUGCAGUAGCCGCUUCAUACAGUGUUAGACAGUAGUUGAUCUCGGUCUUACAAAAGUGAUAUUAUAGUCUAGCUUUGUUUGACUAGUUUUCAUACACUUUCAUCUCAGCCACUUCUUUUUGAUCGAUCGGUGGAUAGGAGUUACUCGUGAUACAAUAACUACGAGGGAUCUAUUUCCAUCUUUGGUCUAAUGAAUUGUGACCAUGGAAGAUUUACUCUGAUGUUUGGGUGACAUAGAAUUUAUGACAUUAGUCAAUCACAAUGUGACAAGUGGUUUUGUUUUUUCUUUAUCUCUCUUAUAAGGAUUGUGACAUUGUGAUUAGUCAAUGUCGCUAAUAUCACCAAUUCUAUGUAACCCAAUUGCUACCUCAGUCCUUAGUAAGUUUUACUUAGGUAUGUAUUAGGAAAAAAAAGGGUUAAAUAUAUUUUUGAUCCUUAUAAAUAUAUCAACUUUUCGUUUUAGUCCCUCUGAAAUUUUCCUUCAACUUCUAGUCACUACAAAAUUUCAGUCACUACUUUUAGUCUUUAUUUUUAAGUUAUUUUUUGUAUUUUUUAAUGAAAUUGUGCAGAAAUGUAUAGAAUAUUGUAAAAAAAAUUCACAAAAAAAGUAGGAAUUUUUUAAAAAAACACAAAUUUAAUAUGAAUUUUUAACCGUAACAAAUGUAAAAAUUCAUAUUAAAUUUAUGUUAUGUUAAAAAAUUCUAGUUUUUUUAGGGAGAGAUUCUUAUAAUAUUAUAAAUUUUUCUGCAAAAUUUUAUUUAAAAGUAUGAAUUCUACAUAAGUUUAUUUUAAAAGAGGCACCAAAAGUAGUGAUUGAAAAUUUUAUAGGACUAAAGGUUGAAGGAAAAGUUUAGAGGAAUUAAAAUAAAAAGUUGGUAUAUUUAUAGGGAUCAAAAAAUAUAUUUAAUCCAAAAAAUAAUAAAUUAAAUAUUUGUAUAAAGUGACUUACCUAUGGCUCGGAUUCAUAGAAUGUACCGGCAAAAACCCAAUCUGCUAUAUCAGUGGUUAAAAAUUGAUUUCAAAGAAUGUCAAAGUAUUUUAGAUUAGUUUCAAAUUUAUACAAACAAAAUGACAAAUCCGCAGCUUCAAGCUUAGGAAAUCAAUUUAUGAUUAUGCAGUGAACAUAACAGAAACUCAGCAAAACCAAGGUAAUGAAUCUCAUUCAGAAAUUUUGUAAUCCACAUUAUACAUUGAAUAAUGCAUUGUGUCACUAUUGUUAGUCAUAGCUUUGCUCUAGAAAAUUGUAAUAUUAUGAGCUUACAGUGAUUUUUGAUAAAACUAAUUCAAGUAACUUAUAAUUUAUCAUCUUUUAUCUAUCCGAUGUGAGACUUGAGUUUUUCCCAAUACACCCCGUCACUCCAACACUCAUUUUGGGCUUAGUGCGUGGAUAGAUAAGUGACCCUUGAAUUCGACAAGCUCUAAUACCAUCUUGUAAUGGAAAUCAUCGUUGGUUCUAAUACAACCACACAAAACUGACUUAUGAGGUGAUGAUUGCCCCACUGAUAAACAAAUGUUUAGACCAUAUUGGUUAUAAUACCAAUGUAAUAUUACUUGAAAAACUAACUAUUAAUUAAAUAUACAUUUCUUUAUGUCAUUUCAUAUUUAUUAACUACUUCAACCACUAAUUUUAUCAAAUACUACAAUUCUAUCAGCUAACUUAUCUACUAUCAACUAUAAAUUAACUUAUAAGUCAUCCGCUAUAAACUAACUUAUCAAUUAUCCGCUAUUUUUUACUAACCAGAGCCACUGUGUCCAAGCGCAAUUGUUUGUUUUGUGGAUGUAUAUGUAUAUGUAACUAAAGUACAUAGAUGUAUUUUAUUAGGAAUAAGAAGAAAAUAAGAGAGAUGGAAAAGGAGAGGAAAAACCAUGUAGCUCACUGUCUGAUCUUACCUUAUCCAGCACAAGGACAUAUGAAUCCUAUGAUUCAAUUCUCAAAGCGUUUGAUAGAGAAAGGAGUAAAGGUUACAUUGAUAACUGUUUAUUCAUAUUGGAAGACUAUCAAAAACAAAAAUCUUUCUUCAAAUAUUGAAGUUGAGAGCAUCUCAGAUGGCUACGAUGACGGAGGGUAUGAAUCGGCAAAGAGCUUUGACGUUUACAUACAGACCUUCUGGAGAGUUGGAUCACAAACUCUAUGUGAGCUUCUUCAUAAGCUUUCUAGCUCAAAAACCCCACCAAAUUGCGUUAUCUUUGAUGCAUUUAUGCCUUGGGCUCUUGAUGUUGCCAAGAAUUUUGGGCUACUUGGUG